rnacentral:rRNA from 1 species
AUCUAAGUACCCCGAGGAAAAGAAAUCAACCGAGAUUCCCCCAGUAGCGGCGAGCGAACGGGGAGCAGCCCAGAGUCUGAAUCAGCUUGUGUGUUAGUGGAACGGUCUGGAAAGUCCGACGGUACAGGGUGAUAGUCCCGUACACCAAAAUGCACAGGUUGUGAACUCGAAGAGUAGGGCGGGACACGUGGUAUCCUGUCUGAAUAUGGGGGGACCAUCCUCCAAGGCUAAAUACUCCUGACUGACCGAUAGUGAACCAGUACCGUGAGGGAAAGGCGAAAAGAACCCCGGCGAGGGGAGUGAAAAAGAACCUGAAACCGUGUACGUACAAGCAGUGGGAGCACCUUCGGGUGUGACUGCGUACCUUUUGUAUAAUGGGUCAGCGACUUAUAUUCUGUAGCAAGGUUAACCGUAUAGGGGAGCCGCAGGGAAACCGAGUCUUAACUGGGCGUUAAGUUGCAGGGUAUAGACCCGAAACCCGGUGAUCUAGCCAUGGGCAGGUUGAAGGUUGGGUAACACUAACUGGAGGACCGAACCGACUAAUGUUGAAAAAUUAGCGGAUGACUUGUGGCUGGGGGUGAAAGGCCAAUCAAACCGGGAGAUAGCUGGUUCUCCCCGAAAGCUAUUUAGGUAGCGCCUCGUGAACUCAUCUUCGGGGGUAGAGCACUGUUUCGGCUAGGGGGUCAUCCCGACUUACCAACCCGAUGCAAACUACGAAUACCGAAGAAUGUUAUCACGGGAGACACACGGCGGGUGCUAACGUCCGUCGUGAAGAGGGAAACAACCCAGACCGCCAGCUAAGGUCCCAAAGUCAUGGUUAAGUGGGAAACGAUGUGGGAAGGCACAGACAGCCAGGAUGUUGGCUUAGAAGCAGCCAUCAUUUAAAGAAAGCGUAAUAGCUCACUGGUCGAGUCGGCCUGCGCGGAAGAUGUAACGGGGCUAAACCAUGCACCGAAGCUGCGGCAGCGACACUAUGUGUUGUUGGGUAGGGGAGCGUUCUGUAAGCCUGCGAAGGUGUGCUGUGAGGCAUGCUGGAGGUAUCAGAAGUGCGAAUGCUGACAUAAGUAACGAUAAAGCGGGUGAAAAGCCCGCUCGCCGGAAGACCAAGGGUUCCUGUCCAACGUUAAUCGGGGCAGGGUGAGUCGACCCCUAAGGCGAGGCCGAAAGGCGUAGUCGAUGGGAAACAGGUUAAUAUUCCUGUACUUGGUGUUACUGCGAAGGGGGGACGGAGAAGGCUAUGUUAGCCGGGCGACGGUUGUCCCGGUUUAAGCAUGUAGGCUGAUUGUCCAGGCAAAUCCGGAUAAUCAAGGCUGAGGUGUGAUGACGAGGCACUACGGUGCUGAAGUAACAAAUGCCCUGCUUCCAGGAAAAGCCUCUAAGCAUCAGGUAACAUUAAAUCGUACCCCAAACCGACACAGGUGGUCAGGUAGAGAAUACCAAGGCGCUUGAGAGAACUCGGGUGAAGGAACUAGGCAAAAUGGUGCCGUAACUUCGGGAGAAGGCACGCUGGUGUGUAGGUGAAGUCCCUGCGGAUGGAGCUGAGACCAGUCGAAGAUACCAGCUGGCUGCAACUGUUUAUUAAAAACACAGCACUGUGCAAACACGAAAGUGGACGUAUACGGUGUGACGCCUGCCCGGUGCCGGAAGGUUAAUUGAUGGGGUUAUCCGUAAGGAGAAGCUCUUGAUCGAAGCCCCGGUAAACGGCGGCCGUAACUAUAACGGUCCUAAGGUAGCGAAAUUCCUUGUCGGGUAAGUUCCGACCUGCACGAAUGGCGUAAUGAUGGCCAGGCUGUCUCCACCCGAGACUCAGUGAAAUUGAACUCGCUGUGAAGAUGCAGUGUACCCGCGGCAAGACGGAAAGACCCCGUGAACCUUUACUAUAGCUUGACACUGAACAUUGAGCCUUGAUGUGUAGGAUAGGUGGGAGGCUUUGAAGCGUGGACGCCAGUCUGCGUGGAGCCAACCUUGAAAUACCACCCUUUAAUGUUUGAUGUUCUAACGUUGGCCCCUUACCGGGGUUGCGGACAGUGUCUGGUGGGUAGUUUGACUGGGGCGGUCUCCUCCCAAAGCGUAACGGAGGAGCACGAAGGUUAGCUAAUCCUGGUCGGACAUCAGGAGGUUAGUGCAAUGGCAUAAGCUAGCUUGACUGCGAGCGUGACGGCGCGAGCAGGUGCGAAAGCAGGUCAUAGUGAUCCGGUGGUUCUGAAUGGAAGGGCCAUCGCUCAACGGAUAAAAGGUACUCCGGGGAUAACAGGCUGAUACCGCCCAAGAGUUCAUAUCGACGGCGGUGUUUGGCACCUCGAUGUCGGCUCAUCACAUCCUGGGGCUGAAGUAGGUCCCAAGGGUAUGGCUGUUCGCCAUUUAAAGUGGUACGCGAGCUGGGUUUAGAACGUCGUGAGACAGUUCGGUCCCUAUCUGCCGUGGGCGCUGGAGAAUUGAGGGGGGCUGCUCCUAGUACGAGAGGACCGGAGUGGACGCAUCACUGGUGUUCGGGUUGUCAUGCCAAUGGCACUGCCCGGUAGCUAAAUGCGGAAGAGAUAAGUGCUGAAAGCAUCUAAGCACGAAACUUGCCCCGAGAUGAGUUCUCCCUGAGACUUUAAGUCUCCUGAAGGAACGUUGAAGACGACGACGUUGAUAGGCCGGGUGUGUAAGCGCAGCGAUGCGUUGAGCUAACCGGUACUAAUGAACCGUGAGGCUUAACCUU